rnacentral:rRNA from 2 species
CAUGCNCCNUCAUUGUAGCAAUACAAGGCAGACGGCUCAGUAACGCGUAGUUAACCUAACCUAUGGACGGGAAUAACCUCGGGAAACUGAGAAUAAUGCCCGAUAGAACACUAUAUCUGGAAUGGUUUGUGUUCCAAAUGAUUUAUCGCCGUAGGAUGGGACUGCGGCCUAUCAGUUUGUUGGUGAGGUAAUGGCCCACCAAGACUAUUACAGGUACGGGCUCUGAGAGGAGUAGCCCGGAGAUGGGUACUGAGACACGGACCCAGGCCCUAUGGGGCGCAGCAGGCGAGAAAACUUUGCAAUGUGCGAAAGCACGACAAGGUUAAUCCGAGUGGUUUGUGCUAAACGAACCUUUUGUCGGUCCUAGAAACACCGAUGAAUAAGGGGUGGGCAAGUUCUGGUGUCAGCCGCCGCGGUAAAACCAGCACCUCAAGUGGUCAGGAUGAUUAUUGGGCCUAAAGCAUCCGUAGCCGGCGCUGUAAGUUUUCGGUUAAAUCUGUACGCUCAACGUACAGGCUGCCGGGAAUACUGCACGCUAGGAGUG